CCGCCUUGUUGGCAGGGGGUAAGUGUAGGGCUGGAGGACAGGACGGGAGGAGGGUUGAAGAGGAAGGGGGGGCUUUGGGUUCAGAGAGUUCAGCUGAGGAGAGAAAUAAAUGCAUAAACAACAAAGGAGACGUGACGUCAGGUUGAGGGGCUGUCCAACCUGCUGGCUGAAUCUGAGCCUCCACGGAAGAACCGGAUUGUUCGCACCACACGUGUGUGUGUGUGUGUGUGUGUGUGUGCGCGCGCGCCUGUGUACAGUAUGAAUGUGUGUGAGUGUGUGCCUGUGUGUCCAUUGUACUAUCUUCAAGAAAAGACCCGUGGAGCUGAAGCAGAGAAGCUGGACUAUUGUUGUCUGUUUAGUCUCCGCGAAUUACACUCAGCAUUUUCAAAAUGACAUCAGCUCAGACGUGAGCUCUGAUUGGUUGGCUCAGCUUGGGAUACCCGCUCAAACGCCAGCAAUUGGUCCUCAAGCGGGCUACAGAGAAGGUCGGCCAUUUAUGAACAGAUGGAUUUAUGUUUUCUCUCUUAAUGAUUGAGGUCAUCUAGAGGCGACAGCUCGCUGAUCCAAGAGCUCCUUUGGUUUUCAACUGUCUUGCUGGUGUGAGAAUGCAUAGGGAGACCUGGGAAAGAUGCCAAGAGAAGCUAGAGAAAGAAGAAGAAGAAGAAGAAGAAAAAAAAAAGUGACAUUCUGUGAAAUAUCCACCCUCCUCGCUCAUUGAUUCAUUUAGCUGAACUCCCUCAAACCCCUCCCACUUAGGAGAGCAGAUAUUAUCCCCGAUGGAGGGAGAGGACAAAUUGACGGGAGGAUAAAGAAGGACAUGAAGAAAAAAAAAGGCAGAAUAAAGAUGUUGAAAGAGAGAGUGCCCCCCCAAGGGGACUCCUCUUUGAGAGGGAACUUGACAACAAAUGUCCAUCAGUUUAGAGUGUGAAUCUCAGGACAGUUUGAGCUCUUUUAAUCUAUUGAUUGUGCAAAUAUGGUGAGAUGGAACAAUAUGGCAGGAGUGUCGGCAUCGGCUUGUCUCUCUCGCCAUCUGUCUGUUGCUGCAGGAUAGUAUAUAUAAGUACAGUACAAGGGCUGUGUGUGAGCAGACGUCCCUCUGUCACCCUGUGUACGGACAGACGCACUCACGCCAGUAGGAGGGGAUUGUGGGAAAGGGGUGUAGCUCUCAGAGGGUGUGCUCUACUCCUCUCUUUUCCCUUCUUCCCGCCAUCACGGCCCUCUUCUCCUCCAGUCCUCCGGCCCAGCCCGCCGCUCACGUACGAGCUCCAGGUAUUUUUCUUUUUUAUCCUGCGACACCUCUUCCCAUCUUUUUCACUGCCCUAUAAUCUUUAUCCUCCAGUUCCUCUCGCCCUCUUCUCUGUCCCUCAUCAUGGUCUUUCUCCUGUAAAUAUGUCUAUCGUCGUCGGUUGCCACGCUGUACUCCGCUCGCCGCCAUUUUGGCUCAAUGGACAUAACAGGAGAAACUUUUCUAGAGCUCAGAGGGACACCCCGACUCCCUGCUGACCAUCUUCUUUCUCCUGCUUCCAUGAUCUCUUUUUUCUCUGUCCGUAUCCCCUUCUUCCUCUGCCCUCUCUGCUCCAGUACAGCAGGCUGUGACAGGGUGGUGAACCAUCUCUCUGUGGCUUUUCGUACUGAACAGGUGUCUCUUUGUAGACUGGCAGGAGGAAGGACAAGCCUUCUUGGUUACUUUCUGACCUCAGAGGGUUGACCGAGCCAGAGAGCUGUUGUUGUGUUCAGGUCUGUACAAGUUUAGUUGCUGACCAGUGUUGGAGAGCUGCACCCACAGGACAGGACAAGUGAGACACUUGGCAGGUUUCCUAUCAGUCACCCAGAGCCGUUAUGAUAGUUAGUAUGAGGACGAUAUUUACUUUGUAUCUCAUUCCUUUCAGACACUGUUUGCACUUUAUGCCACUGUGAAAACUCACAGUGUAUACGACAGUUGUUUCACACAGAUAAAACUCACCUACGUGUAUGUAGGUGAGGUUUUAUCUGUCUGCGAUCUGUAGGUGUGACAGUUUGUUAAACGGGGGCAACUGUAAUGUUUGUCUUGAUACACUGCGUCACAGGAUACUAUGUGUAAUACUUUGCACUUCAGGGGAAACUGAGGCAGAAAUGAAACCGAGAUUCAGGCAGACAAUGCGGUAAAGAAAAACUUUGUUCCAUUUCAGUAUUCGCCAGGAGUUCUCUGCGAUCUGCUCGUUGAAAAAGAAGAAGAAAUGUGACAAUCGCGUUUGUCUGAUUGAUGUGUAUCUUAGUCAGCUAAGACAAUAUUUCAGUCUCCGAAAUAGAUAAAACAGGAUAUACUAAUUAAGCAGAAACUGACUUUUAGAGGAGAAAAUUAAUACGAUUGAAUUACAUGCAAUAUAUACAUAUACUAUACACAAUUAGGAAUCUAACUGGGCUGCUUAUUGUCAGUAUUGUAUCUAGAUCUAAAUAUGGGUUGGUGUUAAGAUGGCGCCUUCGUGCCACGUGUUUAAGAAACAGUGAAUAUGGGCAGACCCUUUCAGCAUGCCCCUCACAUUUGUGGGUAUACUACUCCUAAUUCCUCUGCGACAGUCUUUGUCAUUUCAGAUGACUCGGCUGUGGCAUUAGGUGGCAAAUUAAUUUCUAGAAAAAGAUCCUGAAAGAACCUCUGGUUAUGUAUAUCGACAUGUGACAGUGAGGAAAAUGUUAAGAAAGAAAAAGCUAGAGAAAAAGAGAGAACAAGGGUUACAGAGACAGAAAGAGAGGUAGGAGUGGAAGAGCUCUUUCCCCGCCCUCUCUUAUCCUCAGAUGAACUUAUCGUGUUGCCUCAUAAUGUUUCUGAGUUUUUCUCCUAGAGGCAGUCAGGCUAACUUCCUGCAUUCAGCCGCAACAUAGCUGAUUGGUUGAUAUGUUGGCUGACCGGCCGCGGUUUGCAGCGAGGCAACAGGAAGUUUCUCUUCUCAUGCAGGAAGCUGCAGCUGUUUCGUCCUGACAUACACCACUUGCACUCUUGCACGUAUACUCUUUGUACACAAGUAUGCAUGCACACCCUCUUUGAAGGGGCAUACCUCUCAAAGUGUGUGAGUGUGUGUGUGUGUGUGCGUUUGUGCAUAUGCAUGUGUAUACGCGCGUAUUGCUUGUUCUGUGUGGCAUUAGUGAGUGCUGUAACAUGUGGGCGUGUAGCAACAUGCCAGACCAGGCAUCUGAGCUAUCAGAAACAUUUGAAACCAUGGUAACCACACAUCUCAUCAGGACAUUAGCGAAAGCAUAGACAAGUGGAAAAGAGGAGAGGGGAUAGAGAGAGUAAAUGAAGAGGAUGACAGAGACCUUUGAUGUAUAUUUCCUUCAUAGAGAGGUUUUAGAAACACAUCUGGCCACAUGGUUAGUUGCAGGGUUUACUGCAGCUAAUACAGCAGUUCAUAAAUUCAUCCUUCAUUAUCUUGAAGAAAACAAUUCAUAUACAGUACAUUUUAAAUACAUUUCUAAUGUUUAACCUGAAAAAUAUCAAUUUAAAAAUCCGAGAUUACAAAAGUGGAGCCCUGCCACCUUUUUCGAUACUGAUUAAUUAACCCAGCUUCACUUCUUUGGUUGUAUCUACGGUUGAAACAGUUGUUGGACACUGUGAUAGUAAACACAAUGGCUCCCUUAUACUCCUUCCUUAUCUAGGUCAUACUAUCUUUUCAUCAAACACAUUGCCCGACAUGUUUACCUAGCUCUUACGGCUGUGAGUCCAACAUUCGUGUGUGUGUGUGUGUGUGUGUGUGUGUGUGUGUGUAGCCCUCCGUCUUAUAAAAAACAGAGAAGACAACGGUAAAAGACUGGAAGCAUUUUCAUUUAAUUAACGUUCAGUAAAUUAGGAUCAGAUAGUAUGAGCUCCUUUCAUGUACGAUGGUCAAACAACUGUGCUGUGUUGUGUCUGUGUGUUGUGUAAGUACGUGCAUAUGGCAGCGCAUUUCUGUAUACAUGCGUACAUGUGAGCAUGAGCCUAAUGUGUUUGCGCUUGGUUAAUGAGGAUAUACAGAACAUCAGAGCGGGCACCAUGCCAAGUGUGCACGGAAGAGGCUCAGUGCUCCCGUCCGUCGUCCUUUAAUGUAGAAAUCAGGCUUUCCUUAGGGAUAAGGGGGGGAUGAAAAAGCAGGUAUGAUAAAAUCACCAUAGCGCUCUGUUGAGGAUCAGCCCGCUUUUGCUCAUGUGCCAGACACCUGAACACAAUUUUUCUCUAGAUUAAGACUGGAGACGAGUAAGACAAGACAUCCGUUUGCAUCUUUUUAACUGUGGGAAUUCUUCAUCCUGCCAUUUAUUGUGUGGCAUACUUCCUCUGCCAACUCCAGCUCCCCCACCGCUCCUCCUCUUUGCCCACCAUCACCACCUCCUUCCUCCCUCAUUGAAAUUCUGCCUGGCACACAGACACUGCCCAUUCUUGGCACAAAGCUCAGAGAGAGAGAGAGAGAGAGAGAGAGAGAGAAACACACAAGAACCUGUACCAAUCGUCUGGUGCCCCGUCCGUUGUGUCUGCCAAGCAUUCAUCCCGUCUCGCGGACCAAGGGACCAGGAAAUCCAAUAGGUAUUUCCCUGCCUCUGCUUCCUGCGAAAAUCUGCUCCAAUUCGGUGGAGUUUUGUUGGCAACUGAGUAUGCUGUGUGUGUGUUUGGGGAUUUGCUGAUUAAUUUGUGUGUUUACGUCGUUUGUAUUGGGUGAAGAAUAAAUGCGACGAAUCCUUCACAUCCUUUCACAGCGUAGGGGAGCAAGCUAAGGCCUAUUGUUUCCACGAGAUUUUACGUCUUAAUUUUCGCAUGGGUUUCAAUUUGUUAAAGAUUUGUGUGUUUCGAUAGUACGGGAGAUUGAUGUUAGAAGUUUAUUAAAUUUGCAUAAUAAACACUAGUUUAGCAGUCAUUUUUAUUAUUAUUAUUUCUUUUUACUUUAACCACAAAAGAGUGGAAUAAGUAGAUGUAUAUCUGAAAAGGUUAUUUUUUUUUAUAGUGUAAAAAAUAAUUAAUUUAAAACAAAUUGUAUGUCUGAAACAGAAUCAGUUAUGGGCUUCAUAGGGGCUGUUGCUGUAGAUUUGCUCCAAACUUAUUGCCAAAGAUAAAAAUUCUACAGCUGACAUGUGGUUGUGGAAAACCCAAAAGAAACACAUGCAACUGUCACCCAACGACAGAUUCAUUUUCUAAAGCAGGAAAUUGUCUCCAGAAAAACAUACCCUGGUUGGCCACAGCAGAGCAGCGUUAUCAGAGGGCAAAAGAGGACAAGGCUUAAACAGAAUACUGCUAAUAUGAAUUUACUAUCAUUUAGCCACAAUCCUGCUGUGACAGAUGCACAGACAGACUGUCUGAUAGGUAGAUGAGAUUAUCUCAAUAGGCCACAUUUCUUGUCUUUUCUUCAAGAUCCUCUCAGCUGCUCCCCAGCCUGGAGGCACUUUUCUUUAAAUGUAUUUAUUUGAGCUGUUGACAGAGAAAAUGAUUUGACCCAGCCGAGCCAUGUGUGCCCCUUUUAUGUGCCAUAGACAAAGUCCAUGAUCACAGACGACAGUGCCCAAUAGAGCUCACAUGACUGACUGAAGUUUGGCCUCACUGUUUCCAAAACAGUCGGGAGUUGUGCAGGGAACAGAACGGCAAUUUCUGCAAUUAACCCAGAAGCACAGAAUUCCCCACAAGCAUUUAUUGUUUAAAUCGUUUUUUCGUUCGCGGCUGUGCUCAGAUGUCCUGUUAAAUCUUCAUUAAUUUGCCCCUUUCCCCCCCAGUAAACUGUGUUAUAUCACUAUUAGUCUGUUCCCCUUGUCCUUCAAAUACAGCUCCAGUCAGGGGAUGUUUCUUGGCGACCAAACAGAGCUCGUAGAUAUGUCACUGGCACUGUGGCAGAGUUGGGCAUCAUGCCAACACACCCCCACCUCCUUCUGUCUGUCUGGUCUUCUGUAAUCAGACUAGCAGGGUCUACUGCAUGCUAACUAUGAGCUGGUCUGGACCAAGUCUCAGGGGUUGUGGCUGUAUGCUAAUUUAUGCAAGCAGUGUACCUCCUAACCCCUUCUCUGUCUAUCUGAGGCCCAGGUCUGGCAUUUAGUCUGGCACUCAUUAACCCUUCAGUCACUGCCGUGUUAACCUGCUUGCCCAGCCCAACCUUUAUCCCAGAGGAGUUUAGCAUGGGAGAGAGAAGUCUUUCUAAGUGAAUUUAAUAAACCAAAAAUACAAUCUGCUUGCUCAGUGAGAGUGCCGAAUGUUUGCUCAAGCCAGAUAUUAAUGGUACGAGUAAAUUCACAGGAAGGUGGACGUGCGGUAUUUGAUGAUGCUUUUUCUCUGUGAACUUUCCAGCUGUCUGAUAAGUUUGGUUAGAUUUGCGCUCUUAUUCUGUACCCGUUGAUAGCGAAUGUGUCGUGUGGAUCUGUUGGCUUCACAUCAGUGCUUGGCACAAGAUUGAUUCUCCAUCGCUUUCAACUGAACAGCCGCUCUUUCUUUAUUGUGAUACAGCAGACUUGGAAAAACCCCUGAAAGGUAGACCUUAUAGUCUUUUUAAGCAGACCUAAAAUGGCCGAUGUGCGAGACGCCAUUUUGUGUUUCCUUGUUGUGUUUUGGGGGGCAGAAUCCCAGCCUUGUAUUCAAUCAGAGGCAGCUGGUGGAAGCCAUAUUUGCAGGCAUCUGUGUGUGUACCUCCGUCUGAGAAGCAGCAGCCAGCCUACACAGGGAUAGCCCACUGGAAUGAGCUCAGUUUUUGGCAAAAACGGAAACGAAUUCCUGGCACAGAGUCGAGCAGCUCUUUUUUUUUUCCUCUUUCGAUCACAUGCCAGAGUCUCAGGAAGCCAGUGAGUUGUUUGUUGGGCUUUCACACAUUAGUGCUCUCACUUUUCGGUGCCUGCUUACCGUUAAAUUAUUUGUUUGAGAUUUAUAUUAAUGAAACAGAUUUCUUAAAUAUGUUCAGCUCCGCAUAAACUCCCCCCGCCCAAAAAGAAUGGUUUAUCGCGGAGGAUGUGCCAAUAUGAAAAAUGUCACAGGUUCCUCCUUUGUUCAUGAUAAACGUUUCUUCAAAUCUUGGCAGUCCAAGACUAGUCAUGUAACACUUCGAGUUUUCAGCGAUAAGUUGUGAGUUUGAACCGUUUCCAGGAACAAAGAGAUAAAACUGAAAAAUGUGAUUACACUCCUUUGUGCAGGGACUGAAUUUGAACACAUCAGACGGAAACGUUGCGUAAAUAUACCCUUAAAAAGUCCUGCCUAGUUUUAUCUUCCAUGUAUUUUACAGAGAAGAGUAAUUAAUUAUGAUAACCCUCUCUGUCUCUUUUUCUUUGUACCAUUACAGGUGAGUUACCUUUGUGGAUCUUUGAUGCUGAAGCAACGUGGAUGCUGUCCUUGGGGCUGAGGUAGUAGAUUGAAUAGUUGUGGGGUUGUGUAACCUCUUUUUGAGAUAACUAUACAAUCUACUGUCUUUCCCAAGGAGACAGCAGAGUCAGCCACUCGCCUACAGUCAUCUCCAGAUGGUCAAUCAUGCUGUCCAGUCAUAACAUACGCUUCCAGCAAUCAACAUAAUACACUGUGACAAGCAUUGUUUUUGUGUUUUGCUAGGACAGGUGAAUUAGGUUUUUCCUCUAACAGGACGUGAACGAGUGGUGUGUUUGAUUUGGGCUCUGUCAGGGUGAGGUAGUAGGUUGUAUAGUUUGGUGGGUGGGAUUGCACCCUGCUCAGGUGAUAACUAUACAGUCUAUUGCCUUCCCUGAGGAGCUCACUGAACACUCAUGAAUGUUCAUCACACUCUCAGACUGAGCAUUUAUUCUUAUACGACUUCAGGGGAAAAAAACAACGUAUAUGUGUGCUGCUAUAGGUUAGUGAUGCAUUGAUUGAAGCUGUCAAAUGAGUUACUAAAAAAAUAUGUUUAUCUCAAUAAAGUCAUACUUGUCUCAAA